UUUCCGUAGGUGAACCUGCGGAAGGAUCAUUAUCGUACAAAAUGUGUGAGGCAUGCAAGGGCUGUCGCUGACUCAAAGUCGUGCACGCCAGAGUGUGUCCUCUCACAUAACAAUCCAUCUCACCCUUUGUGCACCACCGCGUGGGCACCCCUUUGGGAUCACAUCGAUCUCGGAGGGGGCUCGCGUUUUCACACAAAAACCCCCCUUUGAAAAAGUGUAGAAUGUCCUCAUUUUUGCAAUCAAUACAACUUUCAACAACGGAUCUCUUGGCUCUC
rnacentral:misc_RNA from 1 species